rnacentral:sRNA from 1 species
CCUUGAGCAUGGACAGCCUGGAUCUGCUGGCAAAGAGCUCCUGGGAAGGUGCUGCUGGAUGCAGUUUGCAACCACCUCAACCUCGUGGAAGGUGACUAUUUUGGCCUCGAGUUUCCUGAUCACAAAAAGAUCACGGUGUGGCUGGAUCUCCUAAAACCCAUUGUGAAACAGAUCAGAAGGCCAAAGCAUGUUGUUGUUAAGUUUGUGGUGAAAUUCUUUCCGCCUGACCACACACAACUCCAAGAAGAACUCACAAGGUACCUGUUCGCGCUGCAGGUGAAGCAGGACUUGGCUCAAGGCAGGUUGACGUGUAACGACACCAGCGCAGCUCUCUUGAUUUCACACAUUGUGCAAUAAGGACAAGCUGAUGAAGAGGAGAAUCAGCUACUAGUUGGCCCUGAUGUAAAGAUCGCACAUGGGCAGCAAGGAGGCGAGGCAGGGCUGCGUUUGUGCAGAUUGUAUGGUCCCUGCUCUGAGGGUUCCGCGUGAAAUUUAAGGAGCAACCUAUUUCCAAUUUCAAAGAGGAGAAAUGUGGGGAGCGAACGAGUUUCAUAGUCAUGUCACUAUGGCGUGACAGGAGGGCAAGAAAAGACAAGCGACCCAGAAGAAAAGAGAAUUAGAUGUCUCCACCCCAAUGCCAAAGGAAAAACUGGACCAUUCGGCUCUCUUUAUAUGGAAUGAUGGGAAAGAGUGUGUUCUAAGAUUCAUAGGAAUUAAGAAGCCCAAACAUAAAGCUCACAAGACAUUU